rnacentral:lncRNA from 1 species
GUGGAAGAAAAGCAUGCAUGUGGGAUUGGUUUUCUAAACCACCAUUUGUCCAAAGAUCUAUCUAAGCAGUUCUGAGGUCAGCUUUCUUUUGUGACUUUCCUAACACAGCUAGCUUAUGCAUGCAGAUGGCAUAAAUAAGUUAAUGUCUCAGGUAGGCAGCCUCUAUAGAAGUUAGGGACAGAAAACAUUACCAAGGUCAAGCUUUGGAAAGGAAAAUUAACCCUUGGCUACUGACAAAAAGGCUUGAUUGUUUUAUUAGAGGAAGCUGAGUAUAAGAGGACUGGGAAGAGAAGUGGCCAUUGAACUUGACCUGAGAAGAAACAGACUACCAAAUCCAGAGAAAGUGCCAAGACUUGAUGUACAGAAACAGGAGUGCACAGCAUAUUUCACCAUGAGGCUUUGAUUAUGACAUUCUACAGUUCUUUGUCAAACGUCCCAGGGUCUUUUCUGGAAGGGUAAGUAAAUAGUAUCAGGACCAGGUGAUUCUGGAAUGUCAGUAAAAUGGUUGUUACCCCCAAGGAUGAUUGUCCUCAUUUUUAGAAAAACAGAACAAAGCCAGGCUCAGUGCUCAGUGCUACAGUGCUGGCCUAGCAUGCAGGAGGUCUGGGUUCAAUAUCUGAUACUAAGGGGGAAAAGAAGAAGAAGAAAAAAGAAAGAAAAGAAAAAGCAGAACAACUUCAAUGGAUAUGGGUCCUGGAAAGGUCACAUUUAUUCUUUAAAAAAUAUUUAUGAAAUAGCUAUUUUAGUUAUUUUAUUUUAUAGAUUGAACCCAGGGGUACCCUACAACUGAGCUAGAUCUCCAGCCCUUUUUAUUUUCUAUUUUGAGACAGGGUCUCACUAAGUUUCUCAGGCUGUCUUCAAACUUGUGAUCCUCCUGCCUGGAGCCUCCUGUCCUUGGAAUUACAGUGUACACCACUGUGCCCAGCUGGAAUAGCUGUUUAAAUAACAGAUAUAUCAGGUGCCAAGAUUGGAAAGAUGAAAACCAAAAAGACACUUUUGGACCACAAUAUAAUCACAUUUUGGGAAGGAAAAAAUAUACUGGCCACCUCUUCAUAGAUAACUGGAAAAGACUGGUUGAUGGAAGAAUUAUGAAACAAAGUAAGUGGCUUUUAAAAGAGGAAAACAUUUUGGUGACUACUAAUACCUCUAUAUAUGGAUAAUAAUAUGAAUAAAUGAAGUAUUUAAACUUGGAAAUAGAGGGGAGUAUUUUUUAUUAGGAAAAAAAUGAAUACAUUUUAUUAUAUUUGGUUUUUUGCAAAGGACCCUGGUCUAGAUUUGGUAACAAUAAAAAUGAGAUAGCGAGUAAAAAUGGGGAAGAGAAAUAAGACUUGAAUAAUCCAGUUAUGUUUAAAUACUAACAAUAAACGGGACAUUGUGUUUUUUGAAACAUUUACUUAAUUCAGGGAACAGACUCAAGAAAUCAAUUAAAAGAGACUAUUAAAAUUUAAACAUCGUCUUUAACUGUAUUUAUGAAAAUACAGAAAAAGAUUAUAUAGAUAAACAUAUGGGAUUAAAUAGAAAAACAAAACCUACUAUUUUUAAAAGACAAAUUUUAAUCCCUUGCUGCAUUGAUCAAAUUUAUAGAAAAUUUCAAGAAAGGUAUAUUUUAAAUAUCACAGAUUAGUAGUAAGUUUUUUUUUUUUGGCAUAUAUACUACCAAAGAGAGUACAUAAAUUUUUAAAUUGUUAUUAAUAAUGAGGUUUUUCUCCCUCCACGUGUUUCUUUCCCUCAAUAAUUUUGCACUUAGUACAAUUUCUUACAAAAAUUAAGUGUGAAUAAAUGCAAGUCAAUUCAUAAGUGUUGGAUGUUUUAGCAUUUUUACUUUUUUUUCCCCCAGUGCUAGGAAUUGAACCCAGUACCUCACACAUGCUAGACAAGUGCUUUACAACUGAUCUACUUUCCCUGCAUGUUGGAUGUUUAGAUUUUUUUUUUAGGAAACUCAUAAUUCUUGUUCAGACUUAUCAAGAAUUAGAGGCUUGAGAACAUUUGAAGAAGCAAAUCUAAGGAUGGCCUGUGUAUGGAUCUGCAAAGUUUGUCCUGUAUACUUUCUUCCUUUUAAAGAAAUUUUUCCCUCAAUUUUUAACUAUAAUUAUGAUCAUAUGUUAGUUGCAAAAAUUAUUGGGAUCCACUGUGAUAUUCCCUACAUGCAUACCACGUGUAGAUUGUGUCCACUCUUAAUUCUUCCUUAUCCCUUCCCCCUCUCCUCUCUUCCAACACCUAUCCCUCUUUCAUUUUCAGGUAAUUUAAUUUUUCAUAUGUGGGAGAACAUGUACAGUACUUGUCUUUCUGUAUCUAGUUGAUUUUAUUUAUCAUCAUGUCUUCUGGUUCCUUCCAUUUUCCUACAAAUGGCAGAAUCUCAUUCUUCUUUAUGGAGGAAUAAUACUCUAUUAUGUAUAUACACACAAUAUAUAUAUAUAUAUAUAUAUAUAUAUAUAUAUAUAUAUAUAUAUAUACCCCAUUUCUCAAUUCAUUUAUCCAUCAACACUACUUAUCUUGGUUCCUUAUCUUGGUUAUUGGGAAUACUGUCCCUUUCUUCUCAUUACUAAUGGAGUUUCUGAUACUCACCUGGGUAUGUGGCUCCCUGAAAUAAAGACUAUAUUUCUUUCCUUCCUUCCUUUCCUUCCUUUCUUUUUAUGAACAGGUGCAUUUUUUAUUUUAUUAUACAUUUUUACUGGUGUGUUGUAAUUGUACAUAAUGAUGGAAUUUGUUGUUACGUAUUUGUACAUGCACAGAGUAUGACAAUAUUAUUUGGUCAAUAUCACUUCCCAACAUUACCCGCCUCCCUCCUACCCCUUUGUCCCUUUCCUUUACUCAUCUUCUUUUGAUUUUCAUGAGAUUUACCCUUACCUUUCUUUUCCUGUUUCCUCUCUAGUUUCCCCACUUGAGAGAAAAUAUAUGACCCUUGACCUUCUGAGUUUGACUUAUUUUGCUUAACAUAAUGGUCUCUAGUUCCAUCCAUUUUCUUGCAAAUGACAUAUUUCAUUUUUCUUUAUGGCUGAAUAAAACUCCAUUGUGUAUACAAACCACAUUUUCUUUAUCCUAGGUCUGUAGAUAGACACCUAGGCUGGUACCAUAGUUUGGCUAUUGUGAAUUGUGCUGCUAUAAACAUUGGUAUGCAUGUAUCAUCGUAGUAUGAUGACUUUCAUUGUUCAGGGUAAAUACUGAGAAGUGGUAUAGCUGGGUCAUUUGGUGGUUCUAUGCCUAGUCUUUUGAGAAACCUCAUACUGAUUUCCAUAGUGGUUGUGCUAAUUUACAAUCCCACCAAUGGUAUAUAAGUGUUCCCUUUUUUCACAUCCUCCGGCAUUUAUUAUUGUUUGUAUUCUUGAUAAUUGCCAAUUUGACUGGUGUGAGAUGGAAUCUCAAUGUAGUUUUGAUGUUCAGUUCCCUAAUUGCUCAUGAGGUUAAAUAUUUUUUCAUAUAUUUGUUGGCCAUUUGUAUUUCUUCUUUUAAGAAGCGUUAAAGACCUCAUUUCUUAGCCUUCCAUCCAAUUAAGUGUGCCAUGUAAAUAAGAAAUGCCCAAAGAGAUGUAAGGAGAUAUUUCAUGUGAGACCUCUGGAGAUUGUCCUUAAUGGGAAGGUUUAUACUGUGCUUUGUCUCUUCCCCUUCCAGAAUGUGGACACAGUCAAGAGCCUAGCAAGCCAACCUGUGUGAGGCAGAAUGCAAAGGAAAGCAGAACCUUGAAGCUGAAGGCAGCUGGGCUCUCACAACUUAGGACUGCCAGACCAGCCCUGACCUGUGAACCUCUGCAUUGUCAUUGUUGUUGCUGAGUAGAAUUUUAUGUAAUUAAGCUCCUGCUUAUUUGGAAUUUCUGUAUAUGCAGUUAAACCUAAUCCUAACCAAUAGUGACCUAAAUAACCCUAAAAUUGUUACAUACUUUACAUACUUGUUGUGGAUUCUAUGGCUCUAGAGCAUUUUCUGAGUGCUCUGGUAUAGCAUGAGUCUCUUUUAGUAGAUUAUACUACAUUUUUCCUGGCUAAAUGGAUAAAUGUUAAAAUAAUCCAUCACCAUAUUUUAUCAUAUUCAUGUCCACUAUGUACAGUAAUUCCAAUGUCUCUUUUCCUAAUUUGACAAAAUUAUUUUAUUUUGUUUUGUAUUUUAUAAAAAUGUAUAAGUUAUUUAAUAAAUGGUAUAGAAAGAUUAAGAAUUUUUUCUUUGAUUUAUGUAUUGGGGCACUUUUGAAUUUUUUCUAAUAUAUUAAAAUAUAAUUUACAUAUACUAAAAUUCACUAACUUUAGAUGAACGGUAUGGUGAGUUUUGAUUAAAACUUGCUUAUGUUACAUAAUCAUAUUACUCUCUCCAGAAUCACAAUAUGCAAUAAAACAUUCCCACCACUCCAAAAUCUCCCUCCCCUCUCCAUCCCCCUUUCUUUAUUUCUGAUUUUUUUUUCUCUUUCAAUUGUGGAUGUCUUAAUGUCCCAGUGUCAUUUGUUAAAAGUAAUUCAUCCUUCAUUGAAUUACAUUUUCACAUUCGUUAAAACGUGUGGCUCUAUUUAGUCUAUUCCUUUUAAUUACAGAGUAAUAUUCCCUUAUAUGAAUAUACCAGAAUGUGUUUAUUUACUCACCUGUUGUUGGACAUUUGGUUAUUUCUAGUUUUUGACUAGUGUGAAUAAAGAUGCUGUAAACUUGCACGUUUUA